UUCAAAAAUUUAAAUUUUAACAAAAAACCAGGUAUUAAGUUUAUUUAAUGGUUAGGACAAAGUCCAACAUCAAACUAACCCAAUAAGACUAGCCCAAGAAAUGAGUUUCCAGUUUUACCCCUAACGGCAACUCUGUCCCCUUUAAUCCUCUCUCCUUUUCUCGAUCUCUCCAGACUCCACCUAAUCUCUGCUUGUCGAUCUCCAGGUCUCAACCUCUCCGCCUAAUCUCGAUUUCUCUUUUGCACAGAAACAAUUCCUCCGCUUUUGUAAUCAAAUUGAUCUCUGUACCUCUCUUUCAAUCUCUCCACCUUAUCUCUGUUUUCAUUUUCAAUUCCAUUCGAAUUCACCAUUUUUCGAAUCACCAUAUUAGGAGUCUUUGAGCAUGAAGGAAUUUAAGGCUAUUGGGUUCUGGGCAUCCGCAACAUGAGCAUUCGCAGCAUUGGUGGUACUGCUAGGUACUGUUUUUGUGUGUUAGGUAGUGUAUAAUAACUUCAAGAAUGAUAAAAAUGGCUACUGGAAGUGGUUUGCUGGGAACCUGGCAUCAGGCGGUGCUGCUAGUGCUUCAUCUCUUCUUUUUGUAUAUUCUCUGGACUAUGCAAGAACACGUUUGGCAAGUGAUUUCAAGGCUGCCAAGAAGAGUGGUUGAAAGGCAGUUUAAUGGUUUAGUUAUGUUGAAAUUAUCGUGUAUCGUGGACUUUACUUUGGAAUGUACGAUUCUCUAAAACCUGUGGUUUUAACUGGUGGCCUGCAUGAUAGCUUCUUCGCUAGCUUCUUGUUUUCUUGUUGGGAUGGGGAAUUACGAUUGGUGCUAGAUUAGCUUCUUACCCCAUUGACACAGUGCGCCACGGAUGAUGAUGACCUAAGGAGCAGCAGUUAAAUAUGGUAGCUCUUUGGAUGCAUUUAAGCAAAUUAUAAAAAACGAGGGUGCUAAGUCGCUGUUUAAGGGUGCUAGAGCAAACAUAUUAGGUGCUGUUGCAAAUGCCAGUGUGCUUGCUGGCUAUGACAAGUUGCAAGUCAUACUUCUUGGCAAGAAGUAUGGGUCUGGCGGCAGUGGUUAAUGAUGCUAUGUUGAUAAAAUCAUUAGUUAUUGUGUAAGCACCAACUCUAGUUGAAGAAUUUGGAUAAAGGAAGUGCUUUUAGGUUUCCAAAUGUUUGUAUGGAUUUGUUAUUAGAAAGUCAUAGUUACAGGGAUGAAGAAUUUUGAGUUUUGUGUGCUUGUUAUCUGAUUGACCUCUGAAUGGAAGUGCUUUUACGUUUUUAAA